GAAUAGUUUUAUUAUAUAUCUGACUUCAAUUUUACCACUCGUGAUCCCUUGGUUUAUUGUGACGCGUUGAUGACUCCGAUAUCUAACCAUAUUAUUCCUUUAAGUUUUGAUGCAAUUUCCGUAGCAACAUACAUUUAAAUUAUCCGCUUUUUUAUAAGAUACGUUAACACUGUUUAUAUAAUCAAUAUAAAUAUGUAAAAGAUUUUACAAGUGUGUUACGUUUAGCUUCAAGCAUAUACAUUGACUGUACAGACAUGGUAUUGCGAAAAACAUUCAUACAUCGCUAUUAUCUAAAUCAUCAUGAAAAAUAUUUAUCAUCAGUAGCCAAUAUUCCUAUUUUAGUUUGUCUGUAAUCAAGGCUAACCCAUCAUACUCUAUUAAUAGGAUUUCAGUACAGAAUCAAUGUUCCGAUUACGCGCCAACCAGGUCACGUCGACAUUUUUAUUUUUAGAACAGGGCAACGACCGUCAAUAGAAGGAACGUUAACGAAGAAGGUAAGUCUAUUGACAUAUUACAAUAGGAUUCUUAAGAAAGUUUAAUUGCUAAUUAAUAAAAAAAUGGACAAUAAAUAUGGAGAACAUCAUUAAAUAUAAUGUAAGAAAUUGAAAAUACUAUAUAUGCACUGCGUUAUAGAUUCAUGCAGAAUUAAUUUGAGAAAAAAAUCAGAACUAUUCAAUAUUUGUCUCGCUUGUUUAAAUUAGUUAAUCCUUUCCUUCCAAAGUCCAAAAUUUAAUUGCUAAUUAAUGGAAAAUGGACAAUAGAUAUAGUGAAUAUUAUUAAAUUUAAUGUAAGAAGUAAAAAUUACUUCAUAUGCACUGUGUUAUAGUUAAAUGCAGAAUUGAUUUGAGAUAAAUCAGAGCUAUUCAAUACACCAUUGAAUCCUUUCCUUCCAAAAUCAAAAGUUUAAUCACUAAUUAAUAGAAAAUGAACAAAAGAUAUAGAGAAUAUUAACAAAUAUAAUGUAAAUAUGAUGUAAGAAGUUAAAAAUAUACUCCAUAUGCAAUGUGUUUUAAGUAAACACAGAACUUCAUCUGAAAAUAAAUCAGAACUGUUUAAUAUUUGUCUUGGUUGUUUUACUUAGUUAAUCAUUUCUUUCAAAGUCCAAAAUUUAAUUGCUAAUAAUAGAAAAUGGACAAUAGAUAUAGUGAAUAUUAUUAAAUAUAAUGUAAGAAGUAAAAAUUACUCCAUAUGCACUGUGUUAUAGUCAAAUGCAGAAUUGAUUUGAAAUAAAUUAGAACUAUUCAAUAUAUCAUUUAAUCCUUUCCUUCCAAAAUCAAAAGUUUAAUCGCUAAUUUAUAAAAAAUGUACAAUAGAUAUAGGGAAUAGUAUUAAACAUAAUAAUAAUGUAAAUAUAAUGUAUGAAGUAAAAAAUAUACUCCAUAUGCAAUGUGUUUUAGUUAAACACAGAAUUGAUCUGAAAAUAAAUCAGAACUGUUUAAUAUUUGUCUCGCUUAUUUUGAUUUUUAAUCCAUUCCUCCAAAAGUCUAAGGUUUAAUUGUUAAUUAAUAACAAAAUGGACAAUAAAUAUGGAUAAUAUUAUAAAAUAUAAUGAAAGAAGUUAAAACUUAUUCCAUAUGCACUGUGUUAUGGUUAAAUGUAGAAUUCAUUUAAGAAUAAAUCACAACUAUUUAACACUUGUCUUGCUUGUUGUGAAUAUAUGAUCUGUACUGUCAAAAGUCUUUUUUCUAAUCUUGUAUUUUGAUUAUCAUAGACAUCAUAAUAAGUCUUUUUUAAAUCGAAAAUUGAUUUUAGUUGUAUUUAUAUUAUUGUUAAAAGACAUCGAAAAUUGUAAUAAGAUAGUUAUAAUUGACAGUAUUAGUACUUUCUUAUUAUAAUGUAUUAACUUUAAAAAAUCUUUUGUUCAUUACUUAGAAAUAAAUACACGUGACCCGGUAUGUAAACAAGGUUUAACUUAUAUAAGGUUUAUCUAAAAACAGGUUGUUUUUCAAUAAACAAAAAUUUCAAAUUAUAUAUGCUAUAGAUAUCAUAAAAAAAUUAAUAGCAGCAUUUUCCUGUUCAGUUAUUAAAGUAGUUAUGUAAAAUGCAGUUACAAGCACUACAAAAAUAUAUUUUUAUUAAAUAAUUUCUGUGUAAAUAAAGUCAACUGAAAAAAUUAUUUGUGGAAAAUGUAUUGACAUCCAUUUAAAAUUUCAUAAAUAUUUUUUUAAAGAGGAAUGCUUUAUUUUAUUUUUUUUUUUUUUUAAAUUUGUUAGUAAACUUUGAAAAAUGGUGAUUACCAAUUCAGUGCACAAAGGGUGUCGUUCGGAUCUGACCUUGAUCCGAGGUAUGAAUUUAUAAAUUCCUUUUUCGUAUUGUUAAACAUCUAGGAUUUAAUGAAUGUGACCUGACCUUUGGAUUAUGCGUCGUAAGUUAAGUGUUUUAACAAAGAUAUGUUCGUCAUAAAAUUAUCUAAAAACGAAUAGAUAUGUAACAAAAAUAGUCAGAAAUAUGACGUCUGAUGUGUUUGAGCUUUUGAUUUUGCCCUUUGAUUAUGGACUUUCAGUUUAGGAUUUACCUCCGAGUUCGGAAAUUUUGUUACUGUUUACUGCUUACUGUUGGAAAUUUAAUAUUUGAAAUUGGAGUAUAUUUGAUAAUUAUACAUUUGCAUUUGUUGAAAAACUUAAUUUUGUACUUAUCAUUUUUUAUUUUGUUCUUAUAAUUUUUUCAUUUAUUGUAAUUUUUAGGUUAAUCCUUAUAAAAAUUAUACCUUGGAAAUAUAGCUAUAUCCUUCUUCCCUUGAUUUAUAACAUUUGUAUUUGUCAGGUUUUAUGGACUUAAUGUGGUACCUAACACUACAUGGAGAUAACUCUGUAAAAUCAGCUUAAAGUUUAAAUUAUGUUGUGUUGUUAAGGGAACAUUAACAUGAUUAAGCUUCUCUAUGAUCAAAAUUAGUGUUUGUCAAAUUGCUAUUUAAGCAGUGUAAUAUUUAUGACAAAAUGAUUGGUUCAAAUUUUUUGAAAUUUUUAUAUUUUUGUCAAAGGGUCAAAGUAAAUACUUUGUCAAAAUUUUAUGAAAAUAAAACGAGCCAAAUUAAUUUUAGUGAAAGUGUGGGUACCACCUUAACCUUUUAUUUUUUCAUUUUUUUCAUUUUUUAUAUUUUUUUUUAAUUCUUAACAUAUUUUAUGAACUUGAUCUUUAAUUCAUCCUUGAGUUUGGUAUUCUUGUUAAACUCAUUAAGUGGUGUUAUAGAUCUGUAAUUAUGACAAAUUCCUCAGCCAUUAGUUGUUUUAAAUAAGCAAUUAUAUUAUUUAUAAAAUAACAAUUGACUGCAAAUAAAAAUAAGUUAUAUGAAAUAUUUGCAGUAUUAAUGAUUAUAAUUGAAGGAAAUAUAAUGCAAUGCAGUUUUAAUUUAUUAAGAACAAAUUUGGUAACAAAUUACAACAAGUACCAAGAAGUUACAGAAGUUACUGUAUGGAUACAUGUGUUGACAAUUAAAAAUAUCAUGAUCUUAAGGUGGUAGACCUAGGUUAAGGGAAGUAACUCUUAAAAUCAUCAGUACGUUUGUGUCAACCAUUUUCAAAAACAUAUUCUAAGCUUCUAGGUUACAUAGAUUAUUUUCAAUCUGUUUCAGGUAAAUGCUUAAAAUACAUUGAUGAACUUGACUUUUACAAACGCUUGACUGAUUUAAAGAGUUAUCUCCCUUAACCUAGGUCUACCUCCUUAAACAUUAAGAUAUGUCUGUUUGUUUUGCUCACACAUUCUUGUCUAUACAAUGGAAUUUUAUGCGACUGUUAUACACAGAUGAAGUUUAGCUAACUCUAGAACCAGAUUGUAUCCACAUUUGUUUUACACAAGGAAUUGCCUGUACCAAGUCAGGAGAAAUAGUACAGUUGAUUUCAAUUUGUUCGAUGGGUUUCAGCUUUCAAUUUUGCCAUUUGUGAGGGCACGUUUCGUUUUGCAUUUUUCUUAGAGAUCAAUAUUUUUGGUAUCUUACUGGUUUUAUUAUAUCCGAACAGUAUAUACAAAGAAAACAAUAAUCCAUUGGCUAAUAAUGUGCCCAUUACUAGUUCUUGUUUACUCACAAUUAAAGGGAUAGAAAAUAAAACAUUAUAUUUUGUAACUGUUUACAAUUUUAAGCUGUUUUAAAGUACCAUGCUAAAAAAGAUGCCACCAAAAUAUAGGUAUAUCUUACAAUUAUAACUGGGCCACCUUUCGAAAGUGACGUAAUUGUGGAGUAAUUAAGUGUUUCGAGUGUGGUUUAUAUUUUAGUAUGAGCACAUAAAGGGAAAGGGCAGAUGGAUUGGUUACCCCUAUGAUUUCAUUAAAAUGGUAUAAAGAUGGAUUAUACCUUUUUGUAAUCUUUGUACUCGAUACUUAUGCUGUUCUCUUUAAAGUCCAUCCAACCUUUUACAUAUUUAUUGGUCACAUCUUUCACUAUGGCAUUUAAUCUUUUAAAAAGUUUUAAAAAAAUAUUAUUGAAAUAUAUUUGCUUCAGAUGACAAGAUACAACAUCAACCAGUUGAUAGUAAUAAACUUAUAUUUUCAAUAUUUUAGUCUUCUAUUGGUUAGCCACAAAACCAUGUUCAACACAUUUUUUUUUCUUAAAAUGACCUGUACCAAGUAAGAAAAAUUAACAUUGUUAUAAUAUAGUUCUUUACUGUGUGUGUUGCAUUUUUGUGUUUCUGUUGUGUCAUUGUUCUUUUCUUAUAUGUGAUUUUGUUUCCCUCAGUUUUAUACGGUAACCCGGAUUUGUUUGUUUUUUUAAAUCGAUUAAUGAAUUUCUAACAACAACAACAACAACAACAACAAUACUUUAUUUUAAGAGGGUUACACAGUUAGCUAUAUAACUAAUCUUCCCUGAGGCCCUCGACAUGAGAAAUCAAACAAAAUGCAAACAUAUACAUUGCAUACAUCAGUAUAAAAAGUCAAGUAUGAUAAUAAUGUUCAAUACAACUUGAUAAAAUGUGAUGAAAAAAAUAAACAUGAUGACAUGAUCAGUUUAUUUAUAUUAUUGAUACAGCUAGGUUGAUUUCAAUAAAUGAUCUGUUAUUUUGUAUUUGAAAGAAUUAACAUUUGUAAUAUUUCUUAACGCUAUUGGCAAAUUAUUCCACAAGAAUAAUCCAGAAAACAUAAAAGAUUUUUUGAACAAUUCUGUUUUUGGUUUAGGGAGUAUGAGGUUUCCUUGAACAGUAUUUCUCAAGGGGUAUGGAUUUCUGUCUGAAACAUAAUGAAACUUGUUAAUAAGAUAUGAUGGGCAUCACAUUUAAUGCACUUAAAUGUCAUCACUAACUUAUGAUAUAACAGCGGUAUACUACAAUUGCCUUUAUUGAUCGAUACGUAGAUAUCUUUGGAACAUUAUAAAGUAAAACGUGGAACAAAUUAGGAUGCCGGUUUUAGUUUGCAACACAUGUUGUCUACAAAUAACUGCUAACAGGUUCGAUUGAGAGCAUAAAUUAGAAAAUUCAAAAAAUAUCAAAGUACUGAAAUCAAUUUUUUUUUAUGAUCACCAAUCAGUCGAUUCAACAUACGACAAGCAUUAAGGGAAAGAAUCAAUAAAAGUUUACAUAAAGGUUAGCGAUUCGUUUAGAAUACGGUGUGUUUCAUUCAUCAUAGUGUUACAGCAAUUAAAGACCAUUGCCUUGUAUCUUUCCUUAGAUAACUAAAUUUUAAAUGCUUAAUGUGAUUUAUCAGUCAGUGAACAGUCUCACAGACAUGCAUGUCAAAUAUGUAUGUCGUUCAAUUUCUGGCGUACUAAAUUAUAAUCCUGGUACCUUGAUAACUAUUUACACCACUGGGUCGAAGCCACUGCUGGUGGACGUUUCGUCCCCGAGAGUAUCACCAGCCCAGUAGCCAACACCUUGGUAUUGACAUGAAUAUCAAUAAUGUGGUCAUUUUUUUUAUAAAUUUCCUGUUUACAAAACUUCGAGAUUUUCGAAAAAACUAAGGAUUUUCUUAUCCCAGGCAUAGAUUACCUUAGCCGUAUUUGGCACCACUUUUUUGAAUUUCAGAUCCUCAAUGCUCUUCAAUUUUGUACUUGUUUAGCUUUAAAAAUAUUUUGAUGUGAGCGUCACUGAUGAGUCUUAUGUAGACGAAACGCGAGUCUGGCGUCCUAAAUUAUAAUCCUGGUACCUUUAAUAACUACUAUCAAAUAUGGCAUCAAUUAAACAAUAAACAUUUACAGUUCAAACUUUUCUGGAUUGGCUCUAUUAAGAUAUAUUUCAGACCUCUAAAUUAAAAAAAAACAGACACUGCUUCCUCUGUCGCAUUGAUUGACUUAUACUUAGAUACUUAGAAUUUGACAUCAGUGGUCAUAUCAGUAUCAGAAUCUAUAAAACAAGACGGUUUUAAUUUUGAGGUAGCAAUAUACCGACUUUUCCUGCAUAUGUACACAAACAGGAGCUUCUUAAUGGCAAAAUAUUUAGAUUAGAAGGUAGACUUUUUUCAACAAAUUGUUGGCAUUUCUAUUGUAGCUGUAGGUAAAUAUGAGGUUAUAUUUCUUAAACAAUUCAAACUUUUCUGGCUUGGUUCUAUUAAUAUAUACUUCAGAACUCUUAAUUGAAAAGAAACAAGUCAGGAGUCCCUUGUUUGUCUUGUAUGAUUUUCAACUUUAUUUCAUUUAUAUAUUUCGGAGCUUAGUGUUACGUCCUUUAUCACUUUACUAGUAUACAUGUUUGUAUAGGAGCCAACUUAACUACGCCUCUGUGUGCAGCUAUAUUGAAGACCGAUUGGUGGCCAGGACUAUUUCCUCCUUUUUACUCGGAUUGGUGUCUCUUUGACACAUUUCCGAUUUCCAUUUUCAAUUUUAUUAGUUUCAUUGUUGAGGAGAAUGAAGUCUGCAUACAAUGUGUAUUUAGUUCAAUAUUUGAGUUUCCUCUUUUACCACAAAGUCCCCAAUAAGUGGUAUCCCACGAUUAAAAUAAAUCCAAAAUAGCGAAUAUAAACUUAUAAGUAUUAUAAAUAUAACUUCAUAUUCAUGUAGUGGACACAAAUGCAAGACGUGAAUUGUAGAAGGUACUACAUGUAUAUAUAUAUGUUACGGAUCUCAAUCCAUCUUAAGCAAAUUAUGAUUGUGUGACCUCUUUUUUGCAAUUUGUUGCAUCUGUUUCUUCUCCGUUUUGAAGAGGUGCACAAAGAAGACUAUUUUACAACAAAAAAAUGAUUAUUGAUAAAAGGUGGAUUUCUUAUGCAGUAUGUCUUCCUACUCAUUAUUUUAAGUUGGUGUAACAUAAAAAAAUAAUUUCAUUUUUUUCAAAGUGGUCUAUUGCCAUAAAACUUCAAAGAAAUAUUGUAAGUACAUGUAUAUAAACAAUGUACAUAAAAGAAAGCUUGUAAAACCCUCUUCGAUCAUGUUUAUCAGGAAAGAAAAAUGAAAAGGCGUUUGCCAAAAAAACUACAUCCAUUUGAAAGCAACCAAUUGAUAUGGGACUAAACUUUAAUAGCUAGAUAAAUCUCCAGCUUUUUAAAUUCCCUUGAACUUGUAUGCUGUAAAAUUGAGAAAGGAAAUGGGGAAUAUGUCAACGCGACAACAACCCGACCAUAGAGAAGACAACAGCCGAAGGCCACCAAUGUGGUUAUAUAUUGAUAUAUGCGUCUAUUUUUUUUUUUUUUUUUGUCAAAAACAACAUUGAUAUAUUAGAAUAGAAAGCACAUGUUGUGUUUGAAGUUAUAGUCGACAGUAGUAAAGUGUUUUCGAUAGAUUUUUAUUUUUUUUGAAAAUAUAUAUAUAAUAACAGCACAUUUGAAUAGGUUCUAUUUGUGUCCUAAGAGAAUAUAAUUGCAGUCUUACGCAUCUGUAUGAGUGAUGAAGCAUAUAUAUUGAUCGCUGUUUUAUCUUUUUUUACUUUAACGUGAUUUCACAAUUCUUAUAAUUCGAGAAUGAAUUCAAGGAUGUUCGUCAGUGGUAUUUUUUUUUUUUUUUUUUUUUUUUACUUUUUGUUAGAAAUUUAGAUCCCUUAGUCGUAUCAAUGUUAUGCAAUAAUAGCAGUAUAAUUGAAAGGGGAAUCUUCAUGUCCUUAAUGAAUUUAACUAUUGUCUUACGCAACUUUAUCUGUUUUAUCUUUUUUUUUAUUUUGACGUAAUUGCACAAUUCUUAUAGUCGGAAAGAAUUCAAGGAUGUUCGUGACUAGUUGUUUUUUUGUUUUUUUGUUUUUUUUUUAAAUUUUGAAUCUUCUAGUUCUAUUCAAGUAGUGCCAUAAUAGUAAAUUUGAAUGGGGAAUGUUGUAAGUUCAUUAAACUUUUGUCUUAUUCAACUGUAUGCUUGAUGAAUAAAAUUGAGAAUGGAAGUGGGGAAUGAGUCAAAGAGACAACAACCCUACCUUAGAACAGACAACAGCUGAAGGCUAUUAACGGGUCUUCAAUGGAAUUAAGCAAAUUCCAUUGAAUACCCUUUUUUAUUUAUUUUUUAAUUUGGAAACAUAUAUAUUGAAAGCUGUUUUAUCUUUUUUCUUAAAAUGAUUUCACAAUUCCUUUAAUCGGAUUGAUUUUAAUGAUGCAGUAAAUUUGUAUGGGGAAUUUGUUCAUGUCCUAAGUUUAUCAACUGCAUGGUUUAUGCAGCAUAUAUAUAUCUUGAUCCGCGUUAAGAUAACGUGAUUUCACAAUUCUUAUAAUUGGAAAAAAAUCAAUGAUUUUCGCCACUGAUAUUUUGUUACUUUUUGUUAGAAAUAUUCGGAACUCUCUUGUUUUAUGAAUGUAGUGCCAUUUAAGAAAUAUUGCCAGCUAACCCUUAUUUUUCUAUUCAGUUUUUAUUAUACAUAGUUUAAAAAGUCAAUUAUUCUAUAAAUUGCUUGUUAUUCUUUCAAAAUGUAUGGCAGAGAGAAAGUAACAAUGUUAAAUUUGGAAAAAAUCAAGAAGAAAUAACUUCCCGCCACAUUUUAAAUUGCUUUUAUGUUCUUGAAACUACUACAGUCAGUGGCUUACCUUUCAUUCUCCCUGCUUUUAAUUUAAAAUCCGCUAUUAAAAAAUUAUUUCUAACAAUCUUUUAGUGUUGUUUUUUUUUUUAUUAUUUGAAACGAAUGAACUUUCUUUUAACUUUCUAUUGAUUGAUAAAGCCAUCGAUUUUUAUGACCAUUAUAUUUUCAACUUUUCAACUUAUUCACUAAGGGCACUCAUUUUUAAAAGGGGGUUCCCAAUCCUGUGUAAAGGGGAGGAUAAUUCCAACCAUAUGUCCCAAAACAAAUGCAUUGAACGUUCAAGAACGGGGUUUCAACUCAAGGAACAUUUUCCCCCUUUUUUGAUAUGCCACUAUCAAUAGUUUUGUACAGGCAUGUAGCUUUUGUACUGCUACAUUGAAAAUUAACUGUGCAAGUUAGAGCCUUAAAUAUCUUUGUUUCUUUCAAACAACUUUAAGCUGCGGAUUCUUGAAACUAAUACAGUCAGUGGUUUACAAUGGAUUAUUUAAAACAAUUUAGAUGCUUUAUUUGGAAAAUUAAUCUGCUUAAAGUGCUGAUCCUGUGUCCAAGCUUGCUUGCAAGGAUCUGACAACACUACGUUUUUUUUUUUCUGUUCAGCUAAAUUUUAUAUCAUCCAAUCAAAUUUAGAUUGCAAAUUUCUGCUGGUGUGUAUUAAGCUGAUAUAACCGGAGGAUUCCGAAAGGACUUUUAAACAGACUAAUGGCGUUUUUGUGUCAUUUAAGCAAAAUCUGCAUCUUAAUCAGACUGAGGAAAUGUGAAUGAACUUUAUAUACCAGUGUGAUGUAACAUAUGGUUUGGUUUUAUCGUACCGCAGAAGGUAAUAUUUUAGGGCGGGGAAAAUUAUUGAUUUAAUUAUCAUUGCUGCAUUAACAUUAACCAGUACCAAUGUCACUGCCCCAUGAACCAGAUACCUCAUUUCGACAGGAAAUAAGUCAUGGAUGAUGCUAGAGGCCAACAUAUCCAAAAAUCUUAAAUUUAAUGGUUACUUGGAUGCGAGAGUACAAAGUAAAGGUCAAAAGUAAGUCGAACCUUGAUGAGAAUUAAAAGCUUUAUAUAAUGGAUGUAUAGUCAUUUAAUUCAAAUACAAAGACAAGAAAUAAGCCGAGCAUAGAUUACGAAUCAGAGCUGCAUUUGUUCAUCAUUCCUUCAUAUCUACACAGCUACUUAAGUACAAGUAAUAUUAAUAUACAGUUCUAGAUGCAUAUCAAAUGACAUCUAUAAACUGUAUAUAAACUGUACAGCUGUAAAGCUGUAUAUAAACUGUACACCUGUAAAGCUGGUAUAUAAAGUUAUUAUUAACUGUACAUCUAUUAAGCUGUAUAUUAACUGUACAUCUGUAAAACUGUAUAUCAACUGUACCGAUAUAAAAGCUGUAUAUGAACUGUACAUAUAUUAAGUUGUUUAUAAACUGUACAUCUGUAAAACUGUAUAUAACUGCACAUUAUUAAAUCUGUACAAGCUAAACAUAAAGAUUCUGCCACUGCAUCUUCUUUGAUACGAUAUCUAUCCACAAUUUAUAUACAGAUUUACAGAUGUUCAGCUUAUAUGGACGUCAUAUUAAACUCAAAAUCAUAUAAAUUAACAAAAAUUUAAAAACCUACAAGACUAAAAAAGGCUCCUUACUUUGAGCAGGCGCAAAAUACCGCGGGAUAAAACAUGUUUUGUGAGAUCUGAACCCUCCAAGUCUAGAUAAGUAAUCAGAUGUAGGUACACUAGUGGUACAGACCUUAAGAUUUUUUAAUGUUUUGAAGUGUACCACAUUAUAAUAUGCAAUAUCCGUUUGUUAUUGUCAGUACUUUUCUUUGUGACUGGGCAACUAUUCUAGGGAAAAACUAUUUGACUAAGGCCGAACAAAAAAAGUAUGUGUGUUUACUGUCAAAUGCUGAAAAAAUAGGGUGGAUAGGUAGGAAAUUUGUUUUAUUUUCAUUCAUUUUUUUUUUUUGCAUUGAGUCUAUGGGAGAAACAUUGUGACUUUAACAGUGCUUUAUCAAAAAUGGCCAAAAAGCCUUUUGGGUAGGGGAUAAAUUUAAGGUAAGGUAGGUAGGGGUACAAUAAACACACAUACUUUUUUUAUUUGGCCUAACGGUCUUUACAGAUACUCUAAGUGAUAAAUAGCAUUUUUCAGAUCUAGGCAAUGUCAUAAAAUACAGUGAAACCUAUUUUCAGAGACCACUUAAGGGAGAGCAAAAAAGUGGUCUCUUAAGACAGGUGGUCUUGUAAUACAGGUUCAAUUCAUAUGAAAUGUCCAUAACUGGCGUUUUUUAAAAACAGGUUUUUAUUUAAUACAGGUGGUCUCUAAAGCAGAUUUUAUGACUGUAGUAAUUUAUUUGUCUAUAAUCAUAUAAAGAAAAUACUAUAAUAAAUACAUUAAAUAUCUAUAUAUGUGGGUUUAGUCUCAUUAAAAUGACCCAAAUAAACGCAGGUUAAGAUGCUUACUCAUAUUGGCCUCUCUUAUAUUGAUAUCUUGUUAUUCGAGCGUCACUGAGUUUUUUUAUAGCUACAUGUAUAUAAUGUUUGAAAGAUCUAAAUGUUUGCCCAGCAUUGCCAUGAUUGGCUAUUCUUUCUGGUGUAUAGCUCUUAAUCUUUUUAUGAAGCUUCGGAUUUCAAAUUUUUUGGCCUCGAGCAUUACUGAAGAGACAUUACUUGUCGAAAUUAGCAUGUUGCAGAAAAAUGUGUACCGUUAUGUGAUUAAAGUAGAAUGCCCAUCUGGUGUAGAAAAUUAUAGGCUCUGUAUAUUUCAUGAGUUUUUCAUUUACUUUUACGGUGUGUUUAAACACGUUUAUUUACAGGAGAAUUCUUGAUCUCUAUCAGACAUAAUGACAUGGAUAUUAAGUGUCAACAUGCAUUUAAGCGACUAAUAAGUGAGAAAAACAUAUUCAUUUGGCCUAAGGAAACAGAUUUAUUAAACAUUAUCCCUCUGGAGGUAAAACUAGUUUAGUCUCGAUCAAUGUAAAGCAAUUGAUACGUCAUACUUGUCCAAAAUUGAGAAUAAAUAUAUUUGAACAAGAAUCAUUUGAGAAUGAAUAUUUAUUUGCAAAAAGGAUAUGGAAAAGAUGUUCAAUACAUGUUUGAUAUCUAUAUAUUCUAUAAAACGAGUCUCAUCAUGGGUUUUUGAUCAUGUGAUUACUUAACCGUUUUCAUAGUGAUUAUUUGAGUACCAGACACAAUAUUUCAAGAUUGCUUGAUUAUUUGAUAAUCUAAGACUGUUUUUUUGUAUUAUUUGAUUGUCUUGUUUAAAAAAAAUAUUAAUUAUAUUUUGAUUUUAUUGGCAAAACCUGUGAUCACGUGAUAACUUAGACACCCCAUGAGAAGCCUCUAUAAUCAGAACUUGGUCGACAUCCAUACUGUCAACUGCGAGUACUCGUGCACGUGACUAUCAUUCGCUUACAAGGUAGGCUCCACCACUGAGUCAUUAUUUGCUAAGUUAGUUUAUCUUGUUCAUCAGUAAUUUAAAUAUUACCGUUCACACAACAUAUAUAGAAGCGGGAUUGCAGGAGCCUUUAUUUAUAAAAGGACAGAAUCGUUUGGAUAUAUGUUUAAUAAACAAUAGUUUGCCGGUAAUACAUUUCUUGGAACACCAUUGGUUUAAAAUUGACCGCGUAGGAUAGGCGUUGUUUAUUUUUUAUAUACGGUAGGUUGUGAUGUUACUUCCCUUUAAAAAGAUAUUCUUCAAAUUGAGGGUCAAGAUAUCAGUUGUAUUACAGGGAUUGGACAACACUUACAGUUUCAAUCUGAAAAUCUUCACCGUCAUACUUGUUACGACUUCCUUCCAAUUAGUACUUCCUAUCCGUCAGCCGUUUGACCAUUUCUUUUAGGUUACUUUCCCCGUUCCUACAUUAACUCCAACUUUCAUCAUUUAUUUUUCUCAUCUUACUCCCUGUGCCCACGUUUAUUUCUCCAGGCGUAUAAGGUUGCCAUGACAAUGUUUAAAAUGAAAUAUUUGCGAAAGGAAAUAUAAUUUCGUUACCAUUUUUCUUGCAAUUAUGAAGGUAUAUUAACAUGUAUAUGUUUAUCAAAUUUAAAUAAACUUAAAAGAGGGGGCAAGGGGUAUAACUGUUAUUCUGUUAUAGGGCAAAUUAAUUCAUUGUUAUCUGUUAUGCCUCAAAUAUGUUUGCUGUUAGGUGUUAUUGUCUUAUUUCUUGUUAACUGUUAUGGGACAAUUAUAUUUUUUGUUAUCUGUUAUUGUGAGUAUAUAACUACUGUUUUCAGUUAUUGAAAAUUGGAAUGUUAGCAUUUUGACAGCUAAUCUUUGGUAGAAAUUGAAGAUCACUGACAAUUUGGAUCCUACCACUGCUAAUAUAAUAGUGCUCCUAACUCGGAGAAGGAUUUUAGUUACAUACACAUCAAAGACCUUCAUACGUGUAUUUCCCCUGUUGUUAUUGAUCCUCAACCAUUUGCCUCAACUCGGCCGAUUUUGUACCCUCAUCUGGAGAGUAUAGCGGAUUCUACCGAGGAUUGCCGAAUGGAUCCUUACCAAAACCAUUGAUGUGCCGAAGUGAGGCGGCAACCAGAUUGGUUAAAUAUCAAUUUUGAAGAAGAAAAAAAACACAAG
rnacentral:lncRNA from 1 species